GGAACCAGUACUGGAGUGGAGGGACAAUAAGGAUUCUGGUCCUGUCCAAGGAAGAAGAUGAUCAUCAAAUACCUACAACGUUUUGCCCUGUAUGUGUGAUCGCAGGCACAUCAGCAAGCCUCGCUGGCGCUUGUAGUAGCAGCACACAUCGAUCACCAGCAAGACCAACAGAAGGACCACCAACACAAUGGCCAAGAUGGUCUUUUUUCUUACAUCCACCCAGGCCUGAACUCACGUGCAUCACUAGGGGAAGGCGAAGGAACUGGAGUUGGAGUAGGAAAAGACUGUGAGGGAUGCAGAAAAAAGGUGACAGAUCUCCCUCUACGCAACAGAGAAAUGGAAAACGUGUGUGUGUGUGUCCACACAUGCAGUUUUCUGCAUUCAUGCUUAGGAAGAAAAGAAAAGAUUAUGAAGCUUUUACAUCUUCCAACCACUGAGGAAAGUUGUAGACUAUGGUGAGGCCACACCUGGAGUACUGUAGGGAUGUGCAUAAAACCGG